UACCUUUUGGUUCGGAACAACACAGGGAAACUUGUGCUAAUACCGGAUAAGCCCUUACGGGGAAAGAUUUAUCGCCGAAAGAUCGGCCCGCGUCUGAUUAGCUAGUUGGUGAGGUAAUGGCUCACCAAGGCGACGAUCAGUAGCUGGUCUGAGAGGAUGAUCAGCCACAUUGGGACUGAGACACGGCCCAAACUCCUACGGGAGGCAGCAGUGGGGAAUAUUGGACAAUGGGCGCAAGCCUGAUCCAGCCAUGCCGCGUGAGUGAUGAAGGCCCUAGGGUUGUAAAGCUCUUUUGUGCGGGAAGAUAAUGACGGUACCGCAAGAAUAAGCCCCGGCUAACUUCGUGCCAGCAGCCGCGGUAAUACGAAGGGGGCUAGCGUUGCUCGGAAUCACUGGGCGUAAAGGGUGCGUAGGCGGGUCUUUAAGUCAGGGGUGAAAUCCUGGAGCUCAACUCCAGAACUGCCUUUGAUACUGAAGAUCUUGAGUUCGGGAGAGGUGAGUGGAACUGCGAGUGUAGAGGUGAAAUUCGUAGAUAUUCGCAAGAACACCAGUGGCGAAGGCGGCUCACUGGCCCGAUACUGACGCUGAGGCACGAAAGCGUGGGGAGCAAACAGGAUUAGA
rnacentral:rRNA from 1 species